GACGUAGGGACCGAGCGUUGUCCGGAUUUAUUGGGCGUAAAGAGCUCGUAGGCGGUUUGGUAAGUCGGAUGUGAAAUCUCCAGGCUCAACCUGGAGGGGUCAUUCGAUACUGCCAUGACUAGAGGUCGGUAGGGGAGUGUGGAAUUCCUGGUGGAGCGGUGAAAUGCGCAGAUAUCAGGAGGAACACCCGUAGCGAAGGCGGCACUCUGGGCCGAUUCUGACACUGAGGAGCGAAAGCGUGGGGAGCGAACAGG
rnacentral:rRNA from 1 species